UACCAGCACCCCGAGUGGUCGGGACGUUUAUUGGGCCUAAAGCAUCCGUAGCCGGUUCUACAAGUCUUCCGUUAAAUCCACCUGCUCAACAGAUGGGCUGCGGAAGAUACUAUAGAGCUAGGAGGCGGGAGAGGCAAGCGGUACUCGAUGGGUAGGGGUAAAAUCCGUUGAUCCAUUGAAGACCACCAGUGGCGAAGGCGGUUUGCCAGAACGCGCUCGACGGUGAGGGAUGAAAGCUGGGGGAGCAAACCGG
rnacentral:rRNA from 1 species